UUCAUUUGUUUUAGAGAUGUGUCAGGCGUUCUGAUAGAGGCUCACUGUCAUUUGUUAAUAUGGCUACCCAGUGGAGGGAGGUAAAGUGAACAGUGCCAUUGUUCAGCAGGAUAAGUCACUAUGUGAGAUAUUUAGCAACAACAGUGGUUAAGAUGCGAUAUACAGACAUAAGGAAGAGGUUCCUUUAAGGAAGCCGCCAAACUACCAUUUCCAUCGCCCAGAGAAUCUUCACACCAAAUCGACAGCCACAGUCUGAGCAUGUCCGGCCUGACCCCUGACAGCACAUCCCCCACCUUACCCCUCACUGGGUCAAGAGGGCCACCACUGGAGGCAUACAUGUCAAGUCAAUACAUGUAACAAUAACACAGCAAUGGAUCUCCACACAUCAGUGCAGUGGAGGCACUUACAGAGGAGCAAUAUAAGACUCACUGGAGGCACCGACUGGGAGGAGGGACAUUGCUGGUGCAUAAUAUCUCUACCACUGUUGAGGAUGUGAACUGGAAGGAAAAAUAGGGAUGCUAACUGGAAUUAUAACACUGGAAGGAAAAAUAAAGAUGCUAACUGGAAUUACAACACUGGGAAUAACUUGCCACCAGUGAAAGGUGAGCCUCCCCCAACUUGCAGGGUGUCACCAGCUGGCUCAGAAAAACCCACAAGACGGGUCCCCCGGGGAACAGCCUUCCUUACAGUUUGAGACGGUGCUCUGGUCUUCCCUUGGUGGUCCUUGCUGUCUCCCUGCAGUCCUCUUUGUCAUCCUCCCUUCCUGCAAGAAAAUUCCUGAUUAUAUCAUUCUAAUCCCAUUUCCUGCAAGAUAACUCCAUGUUAUACAAAAUAAACUUACAACUUCUA